AUGCAAAAUGCAGAAAUCUGGAUCCACCGUCAACCCCGACGGCACCCAUCGGUCCAACAAAGUCUAACUCUACUGUAACAACACACUCGGCUCCUCAGCGCGAACGUAAACUCAACCUACACUCAUCCGAGUAUCCUCCUCGGACUAAUAAUGGUGAUAUAGAAAUCUGGGUCCACCGUCAACCUCGACGGCACCCGACAGUCCAAACGCUACUG
rnacentral:lncRNA from 1 species